GAAUGAACGUUGGCGGCGUGGAUUAGGCAUGCAAGUCGAACGCGAAAGGGGGGCAACUCCCAAGUAGCGUGGCGUAAGGGGUAGUAAUGCCUGGGCAACCUGCCUUCCGGCCCGGGACAUACGGUCGAAAGACCGGGCAAGACUGGACAUCGACCAAGAGGGGCAUCCCUUUUGGUUGAAACGUAAGGCCGGAAGAGGGGCUCAAGUCCUAUCAGCUUGUUGGCGGGGUAACGGCCCACCAAGGCAACGACGGGUAGGGGGCGUGAGAGCGCGACCCCCACCACUGGCACUGAGACACUGGCCAGACUCCUACGGGAGGCUGCAGUCGAGAAUCUUCGGCAAUGGGCGCAAGCCUGACCGAGCGACGCCGCGUGCGGGAAGAAGGCCCUCGGGUUGUAAACCGCUGUUGGGGGGGAGGAAAACCGACCGAACCCCUGAGGAAGCACGGGCUAAGUUCGUGCCAGCAGCCGCGGUAAGACGAACCGUGCAAACGUUAUUCGGAUUCAUUGGGCUUAAAGGGCGCGUAGGCGGCUUGACAAGUCUGAGGUGAAAACCCAUCGGCUCAACCGUGGAAGUGCCUCAGAAACUGUCGGGCUUGAGGGGGAUAGGGGCGCGUGGAACUCCCGGUGGAGCGGUGAAAUGUGUUGAGAUCGGGGGGAACGCCGGCGGCGAAAGCGGCGCGCUGGAUCUUUUCUGACGCUGAGGCGCGAAAGCCAGGGGAGCGAACGGGAUUAGAUACCCCGGUAGUCCUGGCCCUAAACGAUGGGCACUGAGUAGGAAGGGCUCCGAUGGCCCCUCCUGCUGGAGCGAAAGUGUUAAGUGCCCCGCCUGGGGAGUAUGGUCGCAAGGCUGAAACUCAAAGGAAUUGACGGGGGCUCACACCAGCGGUGGAGCAUGUGGCUUAAUUCGAGGCUACGCGAAGAACCUUAUCCUAGGCUUGACAUGCACGGAUUAGCCGGCUGAAAGGUCGGUGACACCGCAAGGUGGAACGUGCACAGGUGCUGCAUGGCUGUCGUCAGCUCGUGUCGUGAGAUGUCGGGUUAAGUCCCUUAACGAGCGAAACCCUUGUCCCUAGUUACCAGCGGGUUAUGCCGGGCACUCUAGGGAGACUGCCGGUGUCAAACCGGAGGAAGGUGGGGAUGACGUCAAGUCCUCAUGGCCCUUAUGCCUAGGGCUGCACACGUGCUACAAUGGGAUGGACAAAGGGAUGCGAGGCCGCGAGGUCAGGCAAAUCCCAAAAACCCUCCCCCAGUUCAGAUUGCGGGCUGCAACUCGCCCGCAUGAAGCCGGAAUCGCUAGUAAUCGCGGGUCAGCCACACCGCGGUGAAUGUGUUCCUGAGCCUUG
rnacentral:rRNA from 1 species